UCUCUUUCCUUUGCCUUGGGAUUUACUUUGCAUUCAGUGGAUUGUUUCAAAUCCUUGCCUGCAUUCAGUAUGAAGGCUACAGUCCAAGUGCAGCAGAGGGUUUCCUCCUUUGCAAUCACUGAUCAGGGCCAGGCCUUUCAGUAUUAAACAUGCUUCAGGGGACAGACACAAAGAAGUGAUCAGGUGCUGAGGAGCCUGCUUUGUUGCUGAACUCAGAAAAUAGGUCAGCUAUCCUUCAGCUGCCUGGAAAAAAAUAUAAAGUGGAUACAAGUUGUUUCGGAGCAGAUGAAGCUGUCUACACGUGGCAAGGGACUCCACAGUUGCUCUACUCUCAGCACUGCCUGAUAACAGAAGAUUUGUGAAGAAAUCUCUGUACAAAAAAGAAGGGAGUGGACAGAAACAAACUUUUCAGUGACUCAGAAUUAUAUCAGUGAAAAGGAUCAUUUCGUGAAGAUGACAACAUGGAUCAGCCAGGCACUUUGGAAACAAAGAAGUGAAAGAAACUAAUAAGAAAAUGCCACACUGUGCUACAAGUUUUUCUCCUCCCUUUUACAACAUUUCUAUUGGAUUCAACUCUGAAAUUAUACCAGGCCAUUGGGACCAUGACUAGGUCUUCACUGAGCAGUGGGCCUUCCAAAUAAGAUAUGAAAAAAGGGUUGUGGAUCCUGAGAUAUAAAAUCCAGUCAAAUCAGGAAUUUAUUAACAGUGGAGUAAGGAAACCUGCUUUUCACAUAUAUCAAGGCUGGAGUUUCCAGUGGAUUCCCUCACGUGUCAUAAGGGUGAGACAAGAUCCAUCUUCAUUCUUCCCUUUUGUAAGGACACCACUGUCAGCCCAGACACUUAUUUUCUGAAAAGGUUCCGAACUAAAAACAUGUCUAUCUGAAACUGUUCAAUGGGCUCUGGCGCUGUAUCUGGCAAUGCAGAGUGAGCAGAAACACCUGCAGGCUGUGCACUCAGCAACCUUGCACCUUUGGAAGACUGGCUAUAAGGACAGAGCUACUAAAGAUCAGUAAAAGACCUAAUUUGAAAACAAAUUAUGAUGUCUUCUAAAUGAAGGUUUUUCCCUUUGAAAAGGCAGAAAAUACAACGUACAUGCAUUGCCUGGUGAUUCAGGUGUGAAGCAAUGCCAAAGGAGUAGGUGACACUUAUUGUGGAAGCCUAACACAUUUUCUGUGCGAGGAUAUUAGUGAGAGGGUUGCUGGUACAGCUCCAUUGCUGCUGGGAAGUGCCAAAGUGUUAAUGCAGAGUCCUCGUGUGACCACUGGUGCCUCAACAUACAGAAUCACAAAAUCACAGAGUGGGUCAGGUUGGAAGGGACCGCAGGGGGUCACCUGGUCCAACGUCCCUGCACAAGCAGAGUCAUACUAUAGCACAUGGCACAGGAUUGUAUCCAGGCACUUCUUGAAUACCACCAGGAAUGGAGACUUCACAACCUCUCUGGGCAACAAUAGUAUAAAAGUUCUUCCUCAUGUUCAGGUGAACUUCCCAAGCACCAACUUCUGGAAAUGAAACCAGUGAAGGAUCUGCAGCACAAGUCCUGUGAGGAGCAGCUGAGGGAGCUGGGGUUGUUUAUUCUGGAGAAAUGGAGGUUUGUCACACUUUACAACUACCUUGAAUGAACCUUUAGACAGGUAGGAGUUGAUCUCUUCUCCCAGCUAACAAGUGACAGGGUAAGAGGAAAUGGCUUCAAGUUGCACCAGUGAAAGUUUAAAUUGGAUACUAGGAAAGAUUUCUUUAGUGGAAGGGUGAUCAAGGAUUUGAACAGGUUGCCCAUGGAAGUGAUAGAAUCACUGUCCCUUGAAGUUCAAAAAAUGUGUAGAUCUGGUCCUUACUGACAAGGUUUAAUGCUGGACUUGGAAGUGAUAGUUAACAGUUGGACUCAAUGAUCCAAGAGGUCUUUUCCAACCUGUACGACUCUACAAUACUUGCUCUUCGGGAUAUACUGUUCUUGAGCUUGGAGGAGGUAGUGCUUGAAUAUUGACUCUUGGAACCAUCUUCCCUGCAGGGCCAGUUCCCACAGGAUUCUUCCAAGAAGGUCGCUGAAGAAUGGAUGCCCCCCUGAAGGAAGAACAGAGUUUUGUGGAGUCUUAAGACAGAGUGAAACUAUGGGAGAUUAUGACUGAAACACAGCUCAGUUUGGAACUCGAAAGUCACACAAGUAAAACAGGAACUUGAGGAUUCUGAUGCAGUAGCUAGAGGACAACUGGUUACAAAGAGAAAUACAUUCCCACAAUUUUCACUUCUGCUGGCAAUCUCAGACAGACCUAGGACACAGUGGACCUGGAGUAAACUGCCUUCCCCUUACAAGGGCUUGCAUGAGACCCAGAAGGAAACAAACUGGUACAGUGUGUAUAUAAGCUCACAUGAUUGAUUUGUUACACCAGGGAGUUUUCCACUCAAAAGGGGGAUCCAGUACCCUCUUCUUCAAAAUUAACUUUGUCUGAUACCUACUAGCAGUAGAAAGCUCUGAGUUGCCUUUUUUUUUUUUUUUUUUAAAUAUGGGAUGGCUUAAAGGCUUUGUGUGUUUCAUGUGUACCAUGAAAUCUGUCAAGUACUGCAGCUGAAGAGAAGAAAGAAUGCAGAGAAUUUGUACUAAGCUUUAAUUUUCCUUAAUAGCAGGCACAGGAUUUGUUCAGAGAGUUUUAUUAUUGGGUGAUAAGGUAAUUACAGCAGUGGGGCAGAAGGCCAGAAGAAGACAGAGAAAUCUAAUACCAUGAAACUUUUAGGUUUAGAGAGCACUUUGAGGUGUUUUUUUUAAAGUAUACUAGCCACCUACAAACAGCCUCCUGCACAUUUAGGGAAAUUUAAACACAAUAUAAUUACUGCACCGUGCAUGUUAACAUAUAUAAUAAGAUUAAGUAUCUUGCAGUUUGUACUCUCACUUCUCACAUGUACAAAAUGUCUAAAGGGAAGGGAUUUGGCUCAAGUCAUUGAGACAGAAGAGGUUAAAAUCAGUAGCUAGAGAAAGAAAGAGCUGUAAGACAUUCUGCAAGGGUUUUUACUAUGAAAACAUUCAUGCCUGAUUUGUAUCUGGAACAGGCAAGUCAUUUGUUUGGACUUCAAGGUAGGUUUCCUGUCUCAACUCAGCAAGUUAUACCUGUCCAGAAACACUUAAACCCAUUCUGUCUCAGGCUUCAGCACAGGAUAAAGUUUAAGCAAGUGAUUGAAAGGUAUGUGAAUGAAGAUGGACUUUAGCAAGAGACUAAAGGUGUCUUGCUGAUCAAGACCCUAUAGACAUGUAGGAACUAUAUACCAGUAUUACAUAAAUCGUAAGAAAAGUGGAUUUUUUUUUUUAUCAUUACUUUCUACUCCAUUUCCCACAAAGCAUAGGAAGCAGUGGAUUUGGGAAAAAACAAUCUGUGUUUCUCCUGAAGUAUUUUGAAGCCUCAAAUGGUCUUGGCUUUUUAUAUUUUGUCAUUGAAUUAUCAAAAAAUGGUUUAAUAAAAAAGGUUUAUGUUAGCAUUAAGUAAAUUUGUCUCCCCGGUAGCUACUGACUCAACCGUAUGUCAUAUGAAUAUAUGAGCUUUUAUUCACACAUUUUUAAUUCUCUUAUUCAGAACACUGAAAGAUGUGUCAAGGAUGCACUUUUCCCUACUUACUCAAAGGAUUGAUUUAAUAUGACUUCUUUCCCAGUUUUAAAACAAUUAUUGAAAAAAACCCUUCAGGAUUGCUCUGGGUAGACAAUGAUAUUUUCCUCCAAGUGUAAACAUUUCCUAAGAUGCUCAUGAUCACUAUAAAAAAGUAUGGGGGUUUUAAUGAAUUAAAAAUAAGUCUCAAAACGUGCUAUUUCUGUACAUCAUUUUAAUACAUAGACUACCAUAAUGCUCUGCUGUAACACAGGUCCCUAUGCUUUUACAACUGAAAACCUGGGUAGGCUGGCUGUCCUCAAAAUCUCAAUGGAUUUUCCAUCAGCAAAGGCCUUAUCCAAAUCUU